rnacentral:lncRNA from 1 species
UGCUGCUAAUCAGGUAAGGAUUUGAUCCUUAAUCAUGUAGAUGAAUAGAAAAAUUUUUAAAUACAACCUAGGCCUUCCUAGGAGAAAUAGUUUCUUUCUUUUCAAAAAUAAAUGCCACCCACCUCAAUUUGGCGUGUGAAAUGGAGAGUCCUUAAAGAAGGCUCUUAACUAAUACGCAUUAUUUUUAUUUCUCAAAUAGAUAUCUUAUGAUUUAAUGUUAAUUUAAUGUGAAAUUUUUAUGGCAUG